CUACGGGAGGCUGCAGUGAGGAAUAUUGCACAAUGGGGGGAACCCUGAUGCAGCAACGCCGCGUGGAGGAUGACGCAUUUCGGUGUGUAAACUCCUUUUAUAUGUCAAGAAAAUGACGGUAGCAUAUGAAUAAGCACCGGCUAACUCCGUGCCAGCAGCCGCGGUAAUACGGAGGGUGCAAGCGUUACUCGGAAUCACUGGGCGUAAAGGAAGCGUAGGCGGGUUGGAAAGUCAGGUGUGAAAUCCUACAGCUUAACUGUAGAACUGCACUUGAAACUUCUAUCUAGAGUAUGGGAGGGGGAGAUGGAAUUAGUGGUGUAGGGGUAAAAUCCGUAGAUAUCACUAGGAAUACCUAAAGCGAAGGCGAUCUCCUGGAACAUUACUGACGCUAAGGCGUGAAAGCGUGGGGAGCAAACAGGAUUAGAUACCCCAGUAGUC
rnacentral:rRNA from 1 species